rnacentral:rRNA from 1 species
UACGUAGGGUCCGAGCGUUGUCCGGAAUUAUUGGGCGUAAAGGGCUCGUAGGCGGUCUGUCGCGUCGGGAGUGAAAACUUACAGCUUAACUGUGAGCGUGCUUCCGAUACGGGCAGACUUGAGGUAUUCAGGGGAGAGCGGAAUUCCUGGUGUAGCGGUGAAAUGCGUAGAUAUCAGGAGGAACACCUGUGGCGAAAGCGGCUCACUGGACCACAACUGACGCUGAGGCGCGAAAGCUAGGGGAGCAAACAGG